rnacentral:rRNA from 1 species
CCCUUAGAUGUUCUGGGCCGCACGCGCGCUACACUGAUGCAUUCAACGAGUCUAAAACCUGCUCUGAUAGGGGUGGGUAAUCUUUUGAAUGUGCAUCGUGAUUGGGAUAGAUGAUUGCAAUUUUUCAUCUUCAACGAGGAAUGCCUAGUAAACGCAAGUCAUCAGCUUGCAUUGAUUACGUCCCUGCCCUUUGUACAUACCGCCCGUCGCUCCUACCGAUUGAAUGAUCCGAUGAAUAUCAUAGACUGAGAGUAUAAGCAGGUUCGCCUGUCUUUGCUUCUCGGGAAGUGAAGUAAAUCUUAUCAUUUAGAGGAAGGAGAAGUCGUAACA